rnacentral:rRNA from 1 species
AGACUCCUACGGGAGGCAGCAGUGGGGAAUAUUGCACAAUGGGCGCAAGCCUGAUGCAGCAACGCCGCGUGAGGGACGACGGCCUUCGGGUUGUAAACCUCUUUUAGCAGGGAAGAAGCGAAAGUGACGGUACCUGCAGAAAAAGCGCCGGCUAACUACGUGCCAGCAGCCGCGGUAAUACGUAGGGCGCAAGCGUUAUCCGGAAUUAUUGGGCGUAAAGAGCUCGUAGGCGGUUUGUCGCGUCUGCUGUGAAAUCCGGAGGCUCAACCUCCGGCCUGCAGUGGGUACGGGCAGACUAGAGUGCGGUAGGGGAGAUUGGAAUUCCUGGUGUAGCGGUGGAAUGCGCAGAUAUCAGGAGGAACACCGAUGGCGAAGGCAGAUCUCUGGGCCGUAACUGACGCUGAGGAGCGAAAGGGUGGGGAGCAAACAGGCUUAGAUACCCUGGUAGUCCACCCCGUAAACGUUGGGAACUAGUUGUGGGGUCCAUUCCACGGAUUCCGUGACGCAGCUAACGCAUUAAGUUCCCCGCCUGGGGAGUACGGCCGCAAGGCUAAAACUCAAAGGAAUUGACGGGGACCCGCACAAGCGGCGGAGCAUGCGGAUUAAUUCGAUGCAACGCGAAGAACCUUACCAAGGCUUGACAUAUACGAGAACGGGCCAGAAAUGGUCAACUCUUUGGACACUCGUAAACAGGUGGUGCAUGGUUGUCGUCAGCUCGUGUCGUGAGAUGUUGGGUUAAGUCCCGCAACGAGCGCAACCCUCGUUCUAUGUUGCCAGCACGUAAUGGUGGGAACUCAUGGGAUACUGCCGGGGUCAACUCGGAGGAAGGUGGGGAUGACGUCAAAUCAUCAUGCCCCUUAUGUCUUGGGCUUCACGCAUGCUACAAUGGCCGGUACAAAGGGCUGCAAUACCGCGAGGUGGAGCGAAUCCCAAAAAGCCGGUCCCAGUUCGGAUUGAGGUCUGCAACUCGACCUCAUGAAGUCGGAGUCGCUAGUAAUCGCAGAUCAGCAACGCUGCGGUGAAUACGUUCCCGGGUCUUGUACACACCGCCCGUCAAGUCAUGAAAGUCGGUAACACCUGAAGC